UACGGAGGGUGCCAACGUUGCUCGGAAUCACUGGGCGUAAAGCGCACGUAGGCGGUCCGAUAAGUCGGAUGUGAAAGCCCUGGGCUCAACCUAGGAAGUGCAUUCGAAACUGUCGGACUUGAGUACGGGAGAGGGUUGCGGAAUUCCCGGUGCAGCGGUGAAAUGCGCAGAUAUCGGGAGGAACACCGGUGGCGAAGGCGGAUCUCUGGGCCUGUCCUGACGCUCAGGCGCGAAAGCUAGGGGAGCGAACAGG
rnacentral:rRNA from 1 species